GAUGAACGCUGGCGGCGUGCCUAAUACAUGCAAGUCGAGCGAACGGACGAGAAGCUUGCUUCUCUGAUGUUAGCGGCGGACGGGUGAGUAACACGUGGAUAACCUACCUAUAAGACUGGGAUAACUUCGGGAAACCGGAGCUAAUACCGGAUAAUAUUUUGAACCGCAUGGUUCAAAAGUGAAAGACGGUCUUGCUGUCACUUAUAGAUGGAUCCGCGCUGCAUUAGCUAGUUGGUAAGGUAACGGCUUACCAAGGCAACGAUGCAUAGCCGACCUGAGAGGGUGAUCGGCCACACUGGAACUGAGACACGGUCUAGACUCCUACGGGAGGCAGCAGUAGGGAAUCUUCCGCAAUGGGCGAAAGCCUGACGGAGCAACGCCGCGUGAGUGAUGAAGGUCUUCGGAUCGUAAAACUCUGUUAUUAGGGAAGAACAUAUGUGUAAGUAACUGUGCACAUCUUGACGGUACCUAAUCAGAAAGCCACGGCUAACUACGUGCCAGCAGCCGCGGUAAUACGUAGGUGGCAAGCGUUAUCCGGAAUUAUUGGGCGUAAAGCGCGCGUAGGCGGUUUUUUAAGUCUGAUGUGAAAGCCCACGGCUCAACCGUGGAGGGUCAUUGGAAACUGGAAAACUUGAGUGCAGAAGAGGAAAGUGGAAUUCCAUGUGUAGCGGUGAAAUGCGCAGAGAUAUGGAGGAACACCAGUGGCGAAGGGCGACUUUCUGGUCUGUAACUGACGCUGAUGUGCGAAAGCGUGGGGAUCAAACAGGAUUAGAUACCCUGGUAGUCCACGCCGUAAACGAUGAGUGCUAAGUGUUAGGGGGUUUCCGCCCCUUAGUGCUGCAGCUAACGCAUUAAGCACUCCGCCUGGGGAGUACGACCGCAAGGUUGAAACUCAAAGGAAUUGACGGGGACCCGCACAAGCGGUGGAGCAUGUGGUUUAAUUCGAAGCAACGCGAAGAACCUUACCAAAUCUUGACAUCCUUUGACAACUCUAGAGAUAGAGCUUUCCCCUUCGGGGGACAAAGUGACAGGUGGUGCAUGGUUGUCGUCAGCUCGUGUCGUGAGAUGUUGGGUUAAGUCCCGCAACGAGCGCAACCCUUAAGCUUAGUUGCCAUCAUUAAGUUGGGCACUCUAAGUUGACUGCCGGUGACAAACCGGAGGAAGGUGGGGAUGACGUCAAAUCAUCAUGCCCCUUAUGAUUUGGGCUACACAUGUGCUACAAUGGACAAUACAAAGGGCAGCGAAACCGUGAGGUCAAGCAAAUCCCAUAAAGUUGUUCUCAGUUCGGAUUGUAGUCUGCAACUCGACUACAUGAAGCUGGAAUCGCUAGUAAUCGUAGAUCAGCAUGCUACGGUGAAUACGUUCCCGGGUCU
rnacentral:rRNA from 1 species